rnacentral:tRNA from 1 species
GGGCGCGUAGCCAAGCUGGCCAAGGCAUCGGAUUUUGAUUCCGAGACCACAGGUUCGAGUCCUGUCGCGCCUGCCA